ACUUCUGCUGCAGACCUGGAAGAC
rnacentral:miRNA from 1 species